AUGAAAGACCCGAGGGAAUUGCUUAUCUCCGGUUGGCGGGCUCGGGCUGCCGCUGUGGAAAGAUGUAACUUGUGUUUUUCACAGUUGAGGAUGUCAAGACAAGGGCAGUAUCCCUACGAACCCAGUACUGCAGGUUGCUGAAACCAGAGCCCAGUGGGAGUGGCAACAAACGCCUGACGCCAAGGCAAAAGUGGCUCCUCAGAGUCAUGGAUUUCAUUAAAAGCUACAUUGUUCACCGUCAGUGUGAAACCACUCGAGCAGGGUGACACAGAGGACCAGGAUCUGUCCGAAUCAAGACCCGACACACCAUCAGAGUGUGUAAACUUCACCAUCACCAUUGCUCUGCGCAGGCAGGUGAAGGACGCCCUUCCUAAACCGCACACAGACACCUUGCAUGACCUGAAGCCUGGCGAGUGGCUCGUGGUGAAAGACUUCAGGAGGAAGAAUUGGAAAGCUAAGCGUUGGCUGGGACCGUUCCAGAUUCUGCUGACUACACCCACUGCUGUGAAGAUAGCAGAGAGAGCAACGUGGAUACAAGCCAGUCAUUGUAAGCGGGUACCAGUGCUGGAUCAGGAACUAGG